rnacentral:sRNA from 1 species
AAGCGAGAGAACGUUGCCGCUGGCAAUGGCCCGAAGGCGAGGCGCUUUAGCGCCGAGUAAUCCUUCCCCCACCACUC